rnacentral:misc_RNA from 1 species
AACACUGUUAACCUGCGGUACCUGCGGAAGGAUCAUUACCGAGUGCGGGUCCUUUGGGCCCAACCUCCCAUCCGUGUCUAUUGUACCCUGUUGCUUCGGCGGGCCCGCCGCUUGUCGGCCGCCGGGGGGGCGCCUCUGCCCCCCGGGCCCGUGCCCGCCGGAGACCCCAACACGAACACUGUCUGAAAGCGUGCAGUCUGAGUUGAUUGAAUGCAAUCAGUUAAAACUUUCAACAAUGGA